CCCUUAGAUGUCCUGGGCCGCACGCGCGUUACACUGAUGCAUUCAACGAGUUUCUUCCUGGUCCGAGAGGAAUGGGUAACCUUUUGAAAGUGCAUCGUGAUAGGGAUAGACUAUUGCAAUUAUUGGUCUUCAACGAGGAAUUCCUAGUAGACGUAGUUCAUCAGACUGCAUCGAUUACGUCCCUGCCCUUUGUACACACCGCCCGUCGCUCCUACCGAUUGAAUGCUCAGGUGAGCCAUUCGGACUUUCAUCAUGCUGGUUUCCAGUUUUGAUGAAGGAAAGUCUUGCGAACCUUAUCAUUUAGAGGAAGGAGAAGUCGUAACA
rnacentral:rRNA from 1 species